rnacentral:rRNA from 1 species
GAUGAACGCUAGCGGCAGGCUUAACACAUGCAAGUCGAGGGGUAGAGGAAGCUUGCUUCCUUGAGACCGGCGCACGGGUGCGUAACGCGUAUGCAACCUACCUUUUACAGAGGGAUAGCCCAGAGAAAUUUGGAUUAAUACCUCAUGGUAUAUAUCAUUCGCAUGUUUGAUAUAUUAAAGUUCCAACGGUAAAAGAUGGGCAUGCGUCCUAUUAGCUAGAUGGUAAGGUAACGGCUUACCAUGGCAACGAUAGGUAGGGGUCCUGAGAGGGAGAUCCCCCACACUGGUACUGAGACACGGACCAGACUCCUACGGGAGGCAGCAGUGAGGAAUAUUGGACAAUGGGCGCAAGCCUGAUCCAGCCAUGCCGCGUGCAGGAAGAAGCAUCUAUGGUGUGUAAAACUGCUUUUGUACGGGAAGAAACACUCCUUCGUGAGGGAGCUUGACGGUACCGUAAGAAUAAGGAUCGGCUAACUCCGUGCCAGCAGCCG